AAUAUUAAUUGGAGACUUAGUUGAGAAUUUAAUUACAAGAAAAAAUUGGACAAGUGAAGGAUAUGGAAAUUACAUAAGUGUAAAUUGGAAUAACUUGUGAAGGACAAAAUAGUAAUUUUGUAGUAAUAACCAUAUAAGUUCCAAGAUGAGAAGAACAACUCUCUUUCUCAAAACACUCUCACGCCCAACCUCCCUUUUUCACCAUAACCACAAACUUCAUACUCCAUUAAUCGAUCAAAUUUCUUAAUGCAUGUAUGAAUUCUUCUUACCCAUCAUCAAUUAAACUCAAUAGAAGCAAAAACCAACCCUAUCUUCCUCUCCUUCCCACUCUUAGCCACAAACCCCUUUCUUCCUCACAAACUCAUACCUUCCACCAUUGUCAAAGCUUGCAUGCACGAAUUUCUUAUGGGUUUAAGCUUGUAGAUGUUGGAAACCAAGGUAAUUGAAGGUUGAAAGAAGUCUUGUUUCACUGUUAGUUUGGAAUUUCAGCAAAGACGUGGACUUGUAAUAGUGGGGACUAAAGAUUGAAGCUUUGAAGAAAUUGAAGAAAAUGGAAAAGAAAGAUUAGGGUUAAACCCGUAUUCUGGACAGACCUCCACUAAAAAGUUUCAUGGAUUUCUAAGCAGUAAUGAAUUCGGGAGAAGCAUUUGAAGUUCGAGGUCUGAUACAGAACUUUGGGCUGCAGGUUUAGAGUGUUGUGGCUGCAAAUUCUGUUUUUCAACUAGCUCCGAAUAUGUUGUUAGCACGAUUCAAACGUCAUGUUCAGGUAACAGGUUGAGCAUGAUAAAUGGAUUUUCAAGAGGAUUGAAGUAAAGACGUUGUUUAUGGAAACUUCGUAGCAUUCACCUGUUAAAUUAUUAUAGAAGAUGACUCAAGGUUUGAUCCUGAUUGUUAUGCAUUCUAUUUCGCUCUGAUGUAUAAUAUAUUAUAGGUUGUACAUUAUGACAGUUUAUUCAGGAUUUUGUCAAGAUUGUGUAUUGUCUGGCAAAUUAUCUUGUAAUUGUACUAUGUCGGACAAAAGUUAUUUUGUAAUUUUAACGUUUCCCGAUUCAGUUAUGUAUGCUCCUAUUGAUAUUCUAGAUAAAUCAAUAUGGGGUGUUAUAACUGAUUUGUA